GUCCCUAUAGUUCAACUGGAUAGAACAUCAGGUUGCGGACCUGAAGGUUGGAGGUUCAAAUCCUCCUAGGGACG
rnacentral:tRNA from 1 species